rnacentral:rRNA from 1 species
CUACGGGACGCUCCAGUGGGGAAUAUUGCACAAUGGAGGAAACUCUGAUGCAGCAAUGCCGCGUGGAGGAUGACACUUUUCGGAGCGUAAACUCCUUUUAUAUAGGAAGAAGAUGACGGUACUAUAUGAAUAAGCGCCGGCUAACUCCGUGCCAGCAGCCGCGGUAAUACGGAGGGCGCAAGCGUUACUCGGAAUCACUGGGCGUAAAGAGCGUGUAGGCGGAUUAAAAAGUCAGAAGUGAAAUCCUAUAGCUUAACUAUAGAACUGCUUCUGAAACUCUUAAUCUAGAGUACGGGAGAGGUAGAUGGAAUUUCUGGUGUAGGGGUAAAAUCCGUAGAGAUCAGAAGGAAUACCGAUUGCGAAGGCGAUCUACUAGAACAUUAUUGACGCUGAGACGCGAAAGCGUGGGGAGCAAACAGGAUUAGAUACCCCUGUAGUC